UACGAAGGGGGCUAGCGUUGUUCGGAAUUACUGGGCGUAAAGCGCGCGCAGGCGGUCUUCCAAGUCAGUGGUGAAAGCCCGGAGCUCAACUCCGAAACUGCCAUUGAAACUGUGAGACUUGAGUACGAGAGAGGUGAGUGGAAUUCCCAGCGUAGAGGUGAAAUUCGUAGAUAUUGGGAAGAACACCGGUGGCGAAGGCGGCUCACUGGCUCGUAACUGACGCUCAGGCGCGACAGCGUGGGGAUCAAACAGG
rnacentral:rRNA from 1 species